rnacentral:rRNA from 1 species
UAUAGUUCGAAGUAAAUUUUGAUAAUGACAUUAUUUGCUUCAAAGUCUUGACCAACCCAUGUGCCAGCAGUCGCGGUAAGACAUGAAAGGCAAGCGUUAUUCAUCUUUAUUGGGUAUAAAGGGUACCUAGACGGUAGAUAUAGGCGCCGCUUUUAAGGCGAAUGUGUACUUUAUUUACUAGAGUUUGAUGUAAGAAGUUUUUAGAACGAUGAGUGUAAGGAUAAAAUCUUGUGAUACCAUCUAGACCCUGGUUUAGGUGAAGACAAAUUUCUAUGUAUAAACUGACGUUGAGGGACGAAGGCUUGAAUAUAAGAAACAGGAUUAGAUACCCCAGUACUAUAAGCAGACAAUGAUGAAUGUCAUAUGUAAGAAACAAUUUUUAUGUAUAAAUGAAAGUGUAAGCAUUCCACCUCAAGAGUAAUAUGGCAACAUAUAAACUGAAAUCAUUAGACCGUUUUUGGAACUCGUAGUGAAGUAUGUUGUUUAAUUUGAUAACCCACAAAAAACCUUACCACAGUGUGUAUAGUUAUAUAUUUAGGUAUAUUUCGGACAAGCGUUGCACGGCUGUCUACAGUUGAUAUCGUGAGAAAUGGUUAGAUCCAUAAAUCAGCGUAAUCCCUUAUUUUAUUUAAUAUAGAGUAGUUCAAUCGAAUACGUAAUAUAAUUUAUAUUUGGUUUAAGAUAUAAGGGAACAUGACA